rnacentral:rRNA from 1 species
AUGCCACCAGACCUGGAAAUAGAGUUAAGCAUUGAACUAGCACCUGGCACCACCCCCAUUUACAAGAAACCUUAUAGAAUGGCACCCUCCGAGUUAGUAGAAUUAAAGAAGCAAAUAAAAGAAUUACUGGACAAAGGAUUUAUACCAGCCAGCUCCUCACCUUGGGGUUCACCAGUAUUAUUUGCCAAGAAAAAGGAUGGGAGACUGAGAUUGUGUAUAGACUAUCGAGCACUCAACAUGGUCACCAUCAAAAACAAAUAUCCGAUGCCCCAGAUAAAUGAUUUAUUUGACCAGCUCGCACAAGCCAAGGUGUUCUCAAAAAUUGAUUUAAGAUCGGGAUAUCAUCAAUUAAAGGUACGGACAGAAGAUAUCCCUAAGACAGCAUUCACCUCCAGAUACGGAUUAUAUGAGUUCACAGUAAUGCCGUUUGGACUGACGAACGCCCCCGCAUAUUUUGACCACCUCAUG